ACGAAGGGGGCUAGCGUUGCUCGGAAUCACUGGGCGUAAAGGGUGCGUAGGCGGGUUUUUAAGUCAGGGGUGAAAUCCUGGAGCUCAACUCCAGAACUGCCUUUGAUACUGAAGAUCUUGAGUCCGGGAGAGGUGAGUGGAAUUCCCAGUGUAGAGGUGAAAUUCGUAGAUAUUGGGAAGAACACCGGUGGCGAAGGCGGCUCACUGGCUCAUAUCUGACGCUCAGGCGCGACAGCGUGGGGAUCAAACAGGA
rnacentral:rRNA from 1 species